GGAGGGUCCAAGCGUUGUUCGGAAUCAUUGGGCGUAAAGCGCGUGUAGGCGGUCGGGUAAGUCGGAUGUGAAAGCCCGGGGCUCAACCCCGGAAAUGCAUUCGAAACUGCCCGGCUAGAGUCCCGGAGAGGAUGGCGGAAUUCCCGGUGUAGAGGUGAAAUUCGUAGAUAUCGGGAGGAACACCAGUGGCGAAGGCGGCCAUCUGGACGGUGACUGACGCUGAGACGCGAAAGCGUGGGGAGCAAACAGGAUUAGAUACCCUGGGUAGUCCACGCCGUAAACGUUGGUGCUAGACGCCGGGGGUAUUGACCCCCUUCGGUGUCGAAGCUAACGCAUUAAGCACCCCGCCUGGGGAGUACGGUCGCAAGGCUA
rnacentral:rRNA from 1 species